rnacentral:lncRNA from 1 species
UUCCCCUUCUCUUCACCUUCACCUCACUUACUCCCAAUCAUUUCAUCACAACCCGCAUGUUACACCUCAACUCUCAAGUUGCAAGAAUAACCAUCAACUAGUAAUUUAUAGACUUGAAUUUCAUGGAACCAUACCAAUGAAUAACCACUUUUGACAACAUCCAAACAUGACAUGAAAGAGUUUUGUAAAUUUAGCACAUAAAAAUUUCAUUGAGUGGAAUAGCCAAUACCUAGUAGAAUAGCCACCAAACAUGUCCAAAUAUAAGGAUUCAUGCCAAAAACAGAAAAAAU